CGCUUCGGUCGUCCUUGCUGAUGUCUAUUUUAUUAUCUUUCAGGUCAGCACACGGUGAAAAUACACCAAAACUACUCCGUAAGAUGUUUACCUCUUAGUUGACAAGUAUAUAGCAGUGCGUUGCGGUUUUUGUGCACCAUUUUGCCAGUAGUUGCCAGUUUUAUCAGGCGAGGGUAAAGUUGUCAGUAUGCCAGCCCCCGCUGGGAAAGUUCCAGGAUACCGGAUGACACAGGCCAAAAAGUCUAACAGUUCAGCCGUUGCCAUGACAAUGCAGAGAUCUCCACCAUGAGUUUGGACAGUACACAAACCCAGCUGUUUACUGCAGACACUGAUAGACAAGUCAAAGAUGUUAACAAAUUUUCCUCUGCCCUGCUAAUGUUGAGCCCUCUGCGUGGACGUCUGGAUUUCAUAAAGGUGAUGUCCUUCAGUCUGCACUCAUUCUUGUCACAGUCUGCAGAAGAACCAGUGGACUUUGGAAAGAAUACAUGUGGGACAGGAAACCGAGGGGAACAUUAAAGAGAGAAGAUAAGAGGAGAUGUGACACAAGAGACCAACGCUAGAACUGUGCACAAUCCUGCAGCAGAGGAAGGGGAAGUGGAAAUAUAAUCUUAUAAUGAGGACAAGCUGCAGGAAAAAGAGAUGCAUCGGCUCAGAAAUCUGUAUCUACAUAAAUUAAUUGUUGUACAGUAAAUAUGAUUGUGUUCUACAUUACCUUUUAUUUUAAUGCCUUUAAUGCUUGCAGCAAUGUUUUGAAAGGGAACAACUGAAACAUUUACCCUUACAGUGUUUAUAGAAGUAUUAACUUUUACAGCACCUUUUGUUUUGUUUAUGCAUCAUUUUAUUGUCUACAGUCAGCGAGGUAUUAAAAUGUUGGGGUCAGUGUAAGAGCAGUUUGGAGCUCUGAUCUGUCAGUCGCUAGAGAGCAAAGAGGGGAAAAAUAAAAUAAAAUUUUUAAUUUUGUUAAAUUGUUAAUAUUUGCAUGAAUUGAACUGACUUUUCUGUCAAGGACAGAACAAAAAAGUGCAAAUUUUAUUUCUGUAACUUAAGAGCUUGAUGUGCAUUGUAGCAGAAAUUGUUCUCAAUUGCCCUUCGAGAUUCAGAAUGGUUCAUAAGUUUUAACCGCCAUUACUUUCCCUUGUUAUUUGUUCCCUCAAAGUUAGCUUGCCAUAUUCAUUGUAUUUUAUUGAGAAUUUAGCAGUCAGACCAACGCAAAGCAGUGCAUUGCUUUAAAGUGGAAGGCAAAUGAUGCAUGGCUUUCAAAAGUUUACGCAAAUAAAACUAUGAAAACUA